CCCUUGGCCUGCAAGUAAGUCAAAUCGUCCUGUGCCUCCUUCCCUAUUGUCAUUGCUCCCCAGUUAUAGAUUCUUCAUCCUUUUAUGUCCAUUGCACCCUUGGCAAAUUCAUACUUCCUAUCUCUCCUGGUUCCGUUCUGCUUGGGCGUAGGAGGUGGAUGGUGUUUAGCGGAGAAAUAAGCUGUCAAUUGGCUCAUCUUGCAUCUUGUGAAUACACACAACUCGCAUGGCAGAUGAGAGGCUGGAGUGAGCACGCAGCAGCUCACUCCCAUCAGCUUCAGCCAACAUCACCAGGACCACAAGCAAGCCAUCCUCCUGGACACACAAGGUAAGUUAACAGGAGAGUGGCUCUGAUGUGUUUGUAUGUGCCAGUGUGUGUAUGUGUCACUGUGUGUGCCAAUGUGUGUAUCUGUGUGUGUAUGUGCCAGUGUAUAUCAGUGUGUUUGUAUGUGCCUGUGUGUGUGUGUAUAUGACACUGUGUGUAUCUGAGUGUGUGCAUGUGCCAGUGUGUGUAUCUGUGGGUGCAAGUGUGUGUAUCUGAGGGUGUGUUUGUGAGUCAAGAUAUGUGUAUGUGUCUCUGUGUGCCUAUUUUUAUAUAUGUUUUUGAUCCAAAAAAGAGGAAGGAGGGACUAAGUGCUAGUUUCAAAAUACUAUAUUUCAAACACGAUUACACAUAAUGAUACAACAAAAUAGAGUAACCCUUUAAAAUAGAUAUAGAAGGCUAGCAGUUACACAAAUGGUUUUAUUCUUUAAAUUCCUAAUGAGCCCGGUCUAGACUUCCAAAUAUAAUUCAUACAGGGACAUUUGGACUGCAAAAUAAAGACACUGUUCACAAGAUUUAUUAAUGUCUGAAUUUUACAACAAAAAACAAGAAAGUCCAGGUAAGUAACCAGAAACAACAAUAAAAAUGACGGUCCUGCACACCUUCUGAGUAGUCAGCAAUCCUUUUAAUUUUCUUUCAGUGCAAAGAAGACAACGUUUCAACAAAGUUACUGGUCUUCGUCAAGACGUCAAGAUUUAUUGUUGUCUGAAUUUUGCAAUACAGCCUCUGAAUGGACUUGAAUGUCAUCAAGAUGGCACUCCAGAUGGAUGAAAUCCAGAACUGUAUUGUUGUACCUGUACCUGAAUUUUUAAAAAACUUCACUAUUUGCAAUAGCAACAAGGGAGCCAAUAAUAGACAACAAAUUCACAGUAGUGCAAAGGUUAAGUGGCUGGUUGAUACCUCAUCCCUUAAGCAAUAAUGGAGGUCCUGUCACUGGUUUCACUGCCCAGAAAUCGGGGAUUAAAAAGAAUCAUGAUCGGCUGUCAAGUCACUAAAGGACCUAUUCCAAUAACGGUGUGAUGGGAUCUGUAAAGGUUCUAAACAGGCAAGCCACUGGUCUCCCUGUCCCCACCUCUAGCAUUAGGUGGGGCACAUUAAAGGCAUCACACCAAUCUAGUAAAUAGACUACACCCUAUCAAGGACCCUGGUGGAAGUCUAGAUCCAUAGUGGGGAUUUAAACCGCUACUGCCUGUAUGACAGAGAGUUAGUCCUUAUAGCUCUGCACCACGUAAGUGCGGCUCUCUUACAUUUAAUCAUUUCUAUUCCAGCAAAUGUAACAGCGUUACACUAUAUUUUUGUAUCUCUUCUGUCAAGGUGGAAUUAUAGAGAAAGAUCACUGGCUGGCAAUAUCACUACAAAUUAUACUUUUCCUCACACAACAUACCAGUACUAUUUUUUAUACUUUUUUUAUUUCAACAAAGUUUUAAAGGGACUUUUGUUAUAAGUGUUUGCUGCCUAUUAAUUAACAAAAGCGCUGUAUUAUUUUAUAUCGGUUUUAUUUACAGUUAAAGUUUCU